rnacentral:tRNA from 1 species
CAGGGAGACAACAAAAUGUUUAAUAUUACUAUUUUGUCACCUUAGGUCGAUCGGUAUCUCACGUUCUUGAUUAAUUAAGAAUUUCAUUUCCUAAGUUUUUCUAGGUCACACCCAUUUAUUUUCCUGGGCCAUUAGCUCAGGUGGUUAGAGCGCACCCCUGAUAAGGGUGAGGUCCCUGGUUCAAGUCCAGGAUGGCCCAUAUCUCUAUGUUGGGGGUAUAACUCAGUUGGUAGAGCGCCUGCUUUGCAAGCAGGAUGUCAGCGGUUCGAGUCCGCUUACCUCCACUGAUUACCACCUCUACCAUAAUUUGUAGAAAGGAAAUGUUUUGAGUUGUGAUCUAAUUCUGAACGAAUCUAGCUUCCUAAUGAAAUCAUUAAGAUGCUGGACUCAUUGAAUUAAUUUCAUUGUUUUCAGAGAACCUUGACAACUGCAUAGAUUAUUUUUAAAGACAAUAAGCAUCUUUGUGAUGCAGAUUUAUUAUUUGUGCAAAUGCAUUAAUAACAAUUCUAUUAAGCUGAUGCUUCAAUUUUGAAGUUAUU